UAAUUACGAGUAUACCUAAUGCAUUUCAUGAUAAUCAGUAAACACUUCAAAAGAAGAGAAACUUCUGAGUUCUCUUCUUCGUCAUCAACGACUCACUGUAUGCGUUUUUGACGCACUAUAGUUUGGCGCGCUCUGUUAUUAUAAUAUGCAGUAGCAGUAUGGCGUAUGCACUAUGCAAUUCUAUAGUUUUCAUCUAGCGUUUUUGACGUUAGUUUUACUCUCGCGAUAAACGCGCGUUUUCACCGCACGUCAAAACCGGUGUAGUGUGGCUCGGCCCUUAAUUAUUAUUAUACUUUUGUAAAAUAAUCAAAAAUAAUUAUACCGAUAGUGGUAGUACCUACCGCUGUAGUACUUCGUAAUAAUAUGCAGAACAAUUAUUAAUGUAAAAUUACAUAAUAAACGCUUCUGAAAUGUAGAAAUCCAAAUGCAGCUAUAUUGUGUACAUGGCCCACUGUAGAAUCAUAAAUGCAUCAAGUUUGUAGGCAGUAUGUGCCACCUCUACCAACUACUUUACAUGAACUAGGAGAAUAUCUGGAUCUAAACAUUAAUAAUAUGACUAACAGAUAUCAGCGUAGCAAUCAACCAUUCUAUCAAUAAUGGGCUGUGGAUAGUGAUGUUCACGAAGGUGGUACAGAGUUGCAUUCAGAUGGAACAUUGAAAGUUGUGUCGUUAUAUCCACAUUGUUGGCAACUUUUUAUUGUACAUCUAUUAUACAGUCCAUUUCUGUUUGCUUCAUACUGAAGGAAGCUAAGACGGAAGCUUCAUAUACAAAGUGUUGGAAUGAUUCAAAACAAAAUUUCCCAAUGUAAAACCAACUUCAAUAAUGAUUGAUUUUGAGACUGGACUUUGAAAUGCAUUUUUACUGUUAUAUCUAGAAGCAUUGAAGCAACCAUAUCAUCAUGUUGGUUUCAUUAUGUACAGGUUCUUCAGAAAAGUAUUAAAAAAUUAGAAUACACAAAUUAUAUCAAAAAUAAUAUGGCAACAAAAAUGUGCAUAAUAAUGACUGCAGCAUUAGCAUUAUUACCAGGUCAUGAAAUUGAAAGGAGUUUUGAAGAUAUAAAAACAUAUGAUCAAGCUAAAAAUGUUCAACUGCCAAGAUUAUUUACAUAUUUUUAUUGUAACUUUUGGAUCAUAAGAAAGGGGCCAGAAUCCUUUUCAGUUCAUGGAAAACCACUGUACAAAUAAUAAUGUUGAAAGUUUUCAUUCAUCACUUAAACAAACUUUCCAGAUGUAAAACCCAAACCUGUGGACAUUUUUAAAUUAUAAUGAUGCAGACUUCAUCAUUCCCAAGGAUCAAGAAAUGGAUAUUUGACAACAUUUUGUAAAUGAUGAUGAAGAAGAUGUUAUAUUUGUGCAAGUUCCUUAAAAUCUGCAUGAACUUUACCCUCAAGAUAUGAAGACACUAUCUAUAUAGUUUAUAGAAUGGCUCUAAGGACAUAUGCACUUAUUCCUUGUGGACAUAAAGUGUUGUGCAUUGACUGUAUACUACAAUUAUUGCGAACAUUUAGAUGCCCAAUCUGUAAUGUUUAAUUUUUCAAUUAUUUACGUAUAUGGUA